rnacentral:tRNA from 1 species
GCCUGGGUAGUUUAAUUGGUUAAGCAUCUGACUUCGGCUCAGGUCAUGAUCUCUUGUGAGUUCGAGCCCCGCGUCAGGCU